AUGAAAAUCAUCAAUUGGAACUGCCGGGGGCUCGGGAAUGGCCCGGCAGUUUGCUCUCUUCUCGAAUUGGGAAGAGUGGAGGAGCCUGACAUUCUGUUCCUAUGUGAAACAAGACUGAACGAGAAGGAAUUGGGGAAGUUUAGGUGGUCGUUGGGGCUCGCCAACAUGGUAUCAUGGAAGGGUGAUGGAAGUGGGAGAGGGGUAGCACUGUUCUGGCGGAGAGGUGUGGAUGUGACCUUGAGAUCCUUUGGAAGGAGGCAUGUGGAUGUGGAUGUUAGCCAGGAGGAUGGUUUGAUAUGGCGAUUAACAGGGGUGUACGGAGAAUCGGUGAUGGAGAGGAAGAAGGAGACAUGGAGACUGCUAAAGAUUCUGAAGAACCAACACCAGAGUGGGAGACCGUGGAUGUGUAUCGGAGACUUUAACGAAAUCCUCACGAGCUUUGAGAAAGUUGGAGGGGCUGAUCGACCACAACACUAUUUGGAUGGUUUUUGA
rnacentral:rRNA from 1 species